AACGAACGCUGGCGGCAGGCCUAACACAUGCAAGUCGAGGGGCAGCAUGGUGUAGCAAUACACUGAUGGCGACCGGCAAACGGGUGCGGAACACGUACAGAACCUUCCUUCGAGCGGGGAAUAGCCCAGAGAAAUUUGGAUUAAUACCCCAUAGUAUAGCGGAGAGGCAUCUCUCUGUGAUUAAAGAUUUAUCACUUGAAGAUGGCUGUGCGGCGGAUUAGGUAGUUGGCGGGGUAACGGCCCACCAAUCCCACGAUCAGUAACUGGUGUGUGAGAACGACCAGUCACACAGGCACGGAGCCACGGUCCCCAUCGCUACGGGAGGAAGCGGUAAGGAAUAUUGGUCAAGGGACGAAAGUGUGACCCAGCCCUGCCGCGUGGAGGAUGAAGGUCCUCUGGAUUGUAAACUUCAUUUAUAUGGGACGAAAAAAGGGUUUUCUAACUCACUUGACGGUACCAUAUGAAUAAGCACCGGCUAACUCCGUGCCAGCCGCCGCGGUAAUAC
rnacentral:rRNA from 1 species